rnacentral:rRNA from 1 species
UGGGGAAUAUUGCACAAUGGGCGAAAGCCUGAUGCAGCGACGCCGCGUGAGGGAUGACGGCCUUCGGGUUGUAAACCUCUUUCAGCAGGGAAGAAGCGCAAGUGACGGUACCUGCAGAAGAAGCGCCGGCUAACUACGUGCCAGCAGCCGCGGUAAUACGUAGGGCGCAAGCGUUGUCCGGAAUUAUUGGGCGUAAAGAGCUCGUAGGCGGUCUGUCGCGUCUGGUGUGAAAUCCCGAGGCUCAACCUCGGGCUUGCAUCGGGUACGGGCGGACUGGAGUGCUGUAGGGGAGACUGGAAUUCCUGGUGUAGCGGUGGAAUGCGCAGAUAUCAGGAGGAACACCGAUGGCGAAGGCAGGUCUCUGGGCAGUUACUGACGCUGAGGAGCGAAAGCAGUGGGGAGCGAACAGGAUU